rnacentral:rRNA from 1 species
GAUGAACGCUGGCUACAGGCUUAACACAUGCAAGUCGAGGGGAAACGACGGGGAAGCUUGCUUCCCCGGGCGUCGACCGGCGCACGGGUGAGUAACGCGUAUCCAACCUGCCUCUGACUGAGGGAUAACCCGUCGAAAGUCGGCCUAAUACCUCAUGGUAUCGUCUGCGGGCAUCCAACGACGAUUAAAGAUUUCAUCGGUCAGGGAUGGGGAUGCGUCUGAUUAGCUUGUUGGCGGGGUAAUGGCCCACCAAGGCUACGAUCAGUAGGGGUUCUGAGAGGAAGGUCCCCCACAUUGGAACUGAGACACGGUCCAAACUCCUACGGGAGGCAGCAGUGAGGAAUAUUGGUCAAUGGGCGAGAGCCUGAACCAGCCAAGUAGCGUGCAGGAAGACGGCCCUAUGGGUUGUAAACUGCUUUUAUGCGGGGAUAAAGUGAGGGACGUGUCCCUCAUUGCAGGUACCGCAUGAAUAAGGACCGGCUAAUUCCGUGCCAGCAGCCGCGGUAAUACGGAAGGUCCUGGCGUUAUCCGGAUUUAUUGGGUUUAAAGGGAGCGUAGGCCGUGGAUUAAGCGUAUUGUGAAAUGCAGGUGCUCAACGUCUGCACUGCAGCGCGAACUGGUCCACUUGAGUGUGCGCAACGCAGGCGGAAUUCGUCGUGUAGCGGUGAAAUGCUUAGAUAUGACGAAGAACUCCGAUUGCGGAGGCAGCUUGCGGGAGCACAACUGACGCUGAAGCUCGAAAGUGCGGGUAUCGAACAGG